UACGUAGGGUGCGAGCGUUGUCCGGAAUUAUUGGGCGUAAAGGGCUCGUAGGCGGUCUGUUGUGUCAAGAGUGAAAACUCGGGGCUUAACCCCGAGCCUGCUUCUGAUACGGGCAGACUAGAGGUAUGCAGGGGAGAACGGAAUUCCUGGUGUAGCGGUGAAAUGCGCAGAUAUCAGGAGGAACACCGGUGGCGAAGGCGGUUCUCUGGGCAUUACCUGACGCUGAGGAGCGAAAGUGUGGGGAGCGAACAGG
rnacentral:rRNA from 1 species